AUUGAACGCUGGCGGUAGGCCUAACACAUGCAAGUCGAACGCGAAAGUCCUUCGGGAUGAGUAGAGUGGCGGACGGGUGAGUAACGCGUAGGAAUCUAUCCUGUAGUGGGGGAUAACGUUUCGAAAGGAACGCUAAUACCGCAUACGCACCAAGGGGGAAAGCGGGGGAUCUUCGGACCUCGUGCGAUAGGAGGAGCCUGCGUCGGAGUAGCUAGUUGGUGAGGUAAAGGCCCACCAAGGCGACGAUCCGUAGCUGGUCUGAGAGGAUGAUCAGCCACACCGGAACUGAGACACGGUCCGGACUCCUACGGGAGGCAGCAGUGGGGAAUAUUGCGCAAUGGGCGAAAGCCUGACGCAGCCAUACCGCGUGUGUGAAGAAGGCCUUCGGGUUGUAAAGCACUUUCAGUGGGGAGGAAAAGCUGGUGGCUAAUAUCCAUCGGCCGUGACGCUACCCACAGAAGAAGCACCGGCUAAUUCCGUGUCAGCAGCCGCAGUAAAAC
rnacentral:rRNA from 1 species